UUUGCUUCUCGGGUUUCCUCCAGAAGCUUCUCAUCUCUCUCUCUCCUUCUCACUGUUCAUCUUCAUCUUCUCUGGUUUUCUCCUUCAAAUCUCCAUGUUUUCAUGGUAUCAGAGCAGGAAAAUCUUUUGAUCCUUCCCUGUUAUGUGUUAUCGAUGCUUGAUGAAACUUCCACUGAAGUUUUUCUUCGAUUAUCUGAGAAAAAUAUUUUUUUUUCGAUGAAUGUUAAUCGGUUAAUCGGGACUUUUAUUGUCUGUUUGAGGCUCCGAUCCUGUAUAAGUAGAUGUUUUGGGUGAUUUUCCGACAUCUCUGACUCUGUUUCGACGAGUUCUUCAAAUUCUAGGGUUUUCCGACUUUCGGACCUAGAGUUUUGGUGUUAUCC
rnacentral:lncRNA from 1 species